rnacentral:rRNA from 1 species
AUGUCGUUUCCUUCUUUGAGGCAUCGCCUUGGAGAGUCAACAUACUGCAGUUUGCACGGAUCUCUUCGUCGUCGGGGACAGUGGACGUCGGAGCGGCGGCUCCGGGUGGUUUCCGAUUGUGCGCCGAGAUGGCGAUCUCGGGAACAAUGUGAGUGGCAGCUCUAUGUGGUGGGGCUCUAUCUCGACAUUGGUUGGGUGGCAUCCUUGUCCCGCUUGGGCGGUAGGGGUGUCGGCUCGGUCGAUGCGCCCCAGAGGGGGCGAUCUGACUUUACGUCGGGGCGGCGGCCCCGGAUGUGGUGCGACGUUCGUGGUCUGCGAGCGGUUGCCCUGAGCAGCGUGGGCUGCGGGCAGCUGGGUUGUGCGACGUUGCUGCUCGGGGGGAGCGAUGGUAUGUCGGGGCGGCGGCCCCGAAAGGCGGUGCCGGUUGAUUGCGCUGGGCGCGACGGAGCGUGGAUGUCGGGGCGGCCGCCCCGAGAGAAUCACUGUGGCGUCCAGACUUCUGUGGCAACGAUGAUGGUGGGAGCGAUGUCGGCAGCGCGGCAAUGGUUGCGGUAG